AAGGAAAAAACUACCAGCCCUCCUCGCCUCCCCCACGACGCCCUCCUGGGCAGGGCACGCGCGCCUCUGUGCUCGGCCGCCGCCCCUCCGCGCUCUCCCGCCGCCGCCACGCGCCUGGGUGGCCACUGAGGCUCCCGGCCUCCUAGUCAACCAGCAUGGAGCCGAUGCAUCGACACCAACGCGGGAUCCGUCCGCCCUCCUCGCUCGCUGUUUGACGCUGCCAUGCAUAGACGGAGGUGGUGGUGCGGCAUGCGAUCCGAUGUCGAGAUCACGGGAGAAUUGCUGCUGCUGAUCCCUACCUCCACCCCCAAACCACACCCGUCCAUGGUCACCGAGGCCAGUCGCAUCAUGGGUACGUUUGCCAUAGCUUAAUUAGCAAUCAGUGCCGUGCUGGCUUUUGUUGGUUCAAGUUAUUUGCCGAUGAAUCGAUCUGGCCAUAUCCUGGCAAAACAUAAAAAUUAGAUGAAUCUAUCUAGCCACAUCCUUUUACGCUUAUUGAUUUAUCUGAGUAAUCUUUUUGCAAUUUGUUGUACAAAUUAACCUAGCUGAUUUUUAUAGUUAAUCCUAAUAAGUGGAAUAUUAAUCUCACAAGGUCUUUGACUAAUUUUAAAGCUGACUUUAGAUCCCUAAAGGUUUGCAGCAUCAAACGGAAUUAGGUCGUGCAGUGAUUUGUCAGAGUCGUAUGUCUGAAGUGCUUUCGUCCAUAGCAUCAUGCACGUACAAGUGCUUGCAAGAAUGCAUAUUGAUUGAUUUUGGGAGACAAGCAUGCACGAACAAGCUAGCUAGACUUCUAUUAAACAAGCGAACGGAUGAACGCACUCUGCCAGAAAAUCGUCCGCCAAGUACGUUUUUUCUCAAAGCGUAAUCGGCGGCACGUCCGCAACUCUUACGCCUACAAUCACGCUCGCAACGCACGACAAAAAGGAAAAAACUACCAGCCCUCCUCGCCUCCCCCACGACGCCCUCCUGGGCAGGGCACGCGCGCCUCUGCGCUCGGCCGCCGCCCCUCCGCGCUCUCCCGCCGCCGCCACGCGCCUUGGUGGCCACUGAGGCUCCCGGCCUCCUGGUCAACCAGCAUGGAGCCGAUGCAUCGACACCAACGCGGGAUCCGUCCGCCCUCCUCGCUCGCUGUUUGACGCUGCCAUGCAUAGACGGAGGUGGUGCUGCGGCAUGCGAUCCGAUGUCGAGAUCACGGGAGAAUUGCUGCUGCUGAUCCCUACCUCCACCCCCAAACCACACCCGUCCAUGGUCACCGAGGCCAGUCGCAUCAUGGGUACGUUUGCCACAGCUUAAUUAGCAAUCAGUGUCGUGCUGGCUUUUGUUGGUUCAAGUUAUUUGCCGAUGAAUCGGUCUGGCCAUAUCCUGGCAAAACAUAAAAAUUAGGUGAAUCUAUCUGGCCACAUCCUUUUACGCUUAUUGAUUUAUCUGAGUAAUCUUUUUGCAAUUUGUUGUACAAAUUAACCUAGCUGAUUUUUAUAGUUAAUCCUAAUAAGUAGAAUAUUAAUCUCACAAGGUCUUUGACUAAUUUUAGAGCUGACUUUAGAUCCCUAAAGGUUUGCAACAUCAAACGGAAUUAGGUCCUGCAGUGAUUUGUCAGAGGCGUAUGUCUGAAGUGCUUUCGGCCAUAGCAUCAUGCACGUACAAGUGCUUGCAAGAACGCAUAUUGAUUGAUUUUGGGAGACAAGCAUGCACGAACAAGCUAGCUAGAUAACCUUUCGACCAUAGAGAAACCACCCUUUCUUUCUUGCAGGAUUGAGAAGGCUGAAAACUUGGAACAUUUUUUAUGCACAGGAAGAAAGCAGAUUUGUGCUUGUACAAAAUGAUGGUGAGAAGAUCAAAUUUAUUUUAUGGGCUUUCACUUGCAAAUCUUUUCAGGUUCAUUUCACUCGAUAUAAGUUCUGUUACUUCAGUCACGUUAUACCAAUCCAAUCAUUCUCUUUCAGUGUACAGUGUAGGGAGCAUGCUUCACUGGACAGUCCUUAUAUUGCCAGUUUUGCUCAGAAUAAUCAUGAACUAUUCCUGCUUAUAGAUUUAAAUUACAAGAUAGCAAGACAUGUACUACUUGAUGUAGAUAUGGAUACUACUAUAGGAUGUACAAUGCAAAUCCAUUGCUGGACUUGCACGUCCAAGCGAUAUAGGAUGUCCAAUAAAAAACUUGACUGGAAUAAACUUUUGGCUCGCUGAACUUUUGAGACCUAACUUACAAAUUUUAUAGUUUGGUAAUAUAUAGAAUAGAAAUGAACAUUUGGCUUGCUGAACUUGGUGUUUCUUUCUGCAGCACGGUGAUUUCAGAAGUACGGUCAAAUGGAAGGCUGGAGGAAGAUUUUUGAUAUGGCAAAGGCAUCAGUAAGGACAUGAGACAAGAGUGAUGACAAUGGAAAAUGUAUGAAUAUGCAGCCUUCACAGUAAAAAGGUAAAAUAGUACUUUCAUUUUGUUUGUUUUGCUCUAGAUAUAUGUGACAAUUGGUCAUAUAUAUGCAGGCCUGACUUGUUUCUUCGAAGGGGACAAAUUUGUCCAAUAUAUGCAGGUCUGACUUGUUUCUUCAAAGGGGACAAAGUUGUCCUCUUCAUAAUACUCAAGGACUAAGCUAAAAAAAGUCAAGGACACAACUGCCAGCUUGACAUAUUUGGGUUUAACUAUCUCUUUUGUUUGCUUCCUUCAUUGUUAUUACUUUUGUCGUGUGUCUUAUUUCUUAAAGUCUUCCUCCAAAGUUUUGUUUCGGAUAUGCGCAUUUCAUAUUAGUGAAGACGUGCAUUGGCCUUUGAUCCUAAUUUUAGAAGAAGCUCGAGUAAUUAGCUCUAUUUUAUACGACUGGCAAGUAAGGAAAAAUGGCUAUUAUUGGAAUCAGUUUUUUUUCUUGUUUCAUAUUCAGUAGCCUUAUGAUUAGCUAUUUGUGAGUGAGUUUUCCUGCAUCGCUAUCUUUACUACUUAUAAAAGAGCAACCAUUUUCUUUCUUAGAAGUUAAAAAGCACAAUAAACAUGGCAGAUGAGGAAGCCAGAAUAAUAAAAAUUAUCAGAAAAUUGGAUGUAGACUCCUAGCAUGCUCUCUUUUGUUACUUUCAUAUUUUAUAUUUAUUGGUCACAUUGAGGUGCUCUUAGGUGUAUGUACUGCUGGGUAUCCUUGCCUUUCUUCCUGGUUCUGUAUUUUGAGAUUUAUAUGCAACUGGUUCAUCUCACAAUAUGAACAUAACCCCUCCUGAAAAAACAGUCGCCAAUUGCAUUGUCUUCUAUAAUGUAGUUAUGCACCGUGUAGUACUAGCAUAUGACAUAUGUAUAAGUUGUAGACCAUGGUAGAAGGCAUUAUGGACUAAAAUUACAAGUGUGAGUAAUUUCACUUGAAUAUAUUGCCAUCCAUUCCACAUAUUUCUACUCACUUUGUUGUUUGACAGAGUUGAAUUGUCAGAGCCCAAAAUGCAUAUGAUUUUAUUUUGCAUGCUCACCCUAGAUGCUACCACACAAUUAGAGCUUAUAAUUACCGGUUCUUUUAGAAUUAAAUGGAAGUACAUACUGAUUUCAGUUUCUAAGCAAAUAUUUGACAGAUUCCCCUUCAAUCCGAAGCAUAGGAAAUGGAAAGUUUACCAAGAGUCUGUGGGAGAAAUCAUCAAGGGAACGACCUAUGGUACGGGAUACCGAAGAGUGUAAAUUGUAGCCCUAUUUCCUUCUUAAAACAGAUCUUUUUUCUUGGGACCAAUUUAUGUUGUAUACUGAAAUCAUGUUGUAUAUUGAAAUCAUGUUGCAUACUACAAUCAUGUUGUCUUAAGAAGAAUCAAGCUGAAUUAGCUUGUCCAGUGACACAAUAUGUUUAACAAUGGGGGUUUGAUACGAUUAAUUAGUAAAUUUGAUGUUCAUCGUUUA